rnacentral:rRNA from 1 species
GGUUUACCUGUGUGACUGCGUACCUUUUGUAUAAUGGGUCAGCGACUUAUAUUCUGUAGCAAGGUUAACCGAAUAGGGGAGCCGGAGGGAAACCGAGUCUUAAUUGGGCGUUAAGUUGCAGGGUAUAGACCCGAAACCCGGUGAUCUAGCCAUGGGCAGGUUGAAGGUUGGGUAACACUAACUGGAGGACCGAACCGACUAAUGUUGAAAAAUUAGCGGAUGACCUGUGGCUGGGGGUGAAAGGCCAAUCAAACCGGGAGAUAGCUGGUUCUCCCCGAAAGCUAUUUAGGUAGCGCCUCGUGAAUUCAUCUCCGGGGGUAGAGCACUGUUUCGGCUAGGGGGCCAUCCCGGCUUACCAACCCGAUGCAAACUGCGAAUACCGGAGAAUGUUAUCACGGGAGACACACGGCGGGUGCUAACGUCCGUCGUGAAGAGGGAAACAACCCAGACCGCCAGCUAAGGUCCCAAAGUCAUGGUUAAGUGGGAAACGAUGUGGGAAGGCCCAGACAGCCAGGAUGUUGGCUUAGAAGCAGCCAUCAUUUAAAGAAAGCGUAAUAGCUCACUGGUCGAGUCGGCCUGCGCGGAAGAUGUAACGGGGCUAAACCAUGCACCGAAGCUGCGGCAGCGACACUGUGUGUUGUUGGGUAGGGGAGCGUUCUGUAAGCCUGUGAAGGUGUGUCGUGAGGCAUGCUGGAGGUAUCAGAAGUGCGAAUGCUGACAUAAGUAACGAUAAAGCGGGUGAAAAGCCCGCUCGCCGGAAGACCAAGGGUUCCUGUCCAACGUUAAUCGGGGCAGGGUGAGUCGACCCCUAAGGCGAGGCCGAAAGGCGUAGUCGAUGGGAAACGGGUUAAUAUUCCCGUACUUGGUGUUACUGCGAAGGGGGGACGGAGAAGGCUAUGUUGGCCGGGCGACGGUUGUCCCGGUUUAAGCGUGUAGGUGUGUGUUCCAGGUAAAUCCGGUUCACUUUAACACUGAGGCGUGACGACGAGGCACUACGGUGCUGAAGCAACAAAUGCCCUGCUUCCAGGAAAAGCCUCUAAGCAUCAGGUAACAUCAAAUCGUACCCCAAACCGACACAGGUGGUCAGGUAGAGAAUACCAAGGCGCUUGAGAGAACUCGGGUGAAGGAACUAGGCAAAAUGGUGCCGUAACUUCGGGAGAAGGCACGCUGACACGUAGGUGAAGUGAUUUACUCAUGGAGCUGAAGUCAGUCGAAGAUACCAGCUGGCUGCAACUGUUUAUUAAAAACACAGCACUGUGCAAACACGAAAGUGGACGUAUACGGUGUGACGCCUGCCCGGUGCCGGAAGGUUAAUUGAUGGGGUCAGCGCAAGCGAAGCUCCUGAUCGAAGCCCCGGUAAACGGCGGCCGUAACUAUAACGGUCCUAAGGUAGCGAAAUUCCUUGUCGGGUAAGUUCCGACCUGCACGAAUGGCGUAAUGAUGGCCAGGCUGUCUCCACCCGAGACUCAGUGAAAUUGAACUCGCUGUGAAGAUGCAGUGUACCCGCGGCAAGACGGAAAGACCCCGUGAACCUUUACUAUAGCUUGACACUGAACAUUGAGCCUUGAUGUGUAGGAUAGGUGGGAGGCUUUGAAGUGUGGACGCCAGUCUGCAUGGAGCCGACCUUGAAAUACCACCCUUUAAUGUUUGAUGUUCUAACGUGGACCCGUUACCCGGGUUGCGGACAGUGUCUGGUGGGUAGUUUGACUGGGGCGGUCUCCUCCUAAAGAGUAACGGAGGAGCACGAAGGUUGGCUAAUCCUGGUCGGACAUCAGGAGGUUAGUGCAAUGGCAUAAGCCAGCUUGACUGCGAGCGUGACGGCGCGAGCAGGUGCGAAAGCAGGUCAUAGUGAUCCGGUGGUUCUGAAUGGAAGGGCCAUCGCUCAACGGAUAAAAGGUACUCCGGGGAUAACAGGCUGAUACCGCCCAAGAGUUCAUAUCGACGGCGGUGUUUGGCACCUCGAUGUCGGCUCAUCACAUCCUGGGGCUGAAGUAGGUCCCAAGGGUAUGGCUGUUCGCCAUUUAAAGUGGUACGCGAGCUGGGUUUAGAACGUCGUGAGACAGUUCGGUCCCUAUCUGCCGUGGGCGCUGGAGAACUGAGGGGGGCUGCUCCUAGUACGAGAGGACCGGAGUGGACGCAUCACUGGUGUUCGGGUUGUCAUGCCAAUGGCACUGCCCGGUAGCUAAAUGCGGAAGAGAUAAGUGCUGAAAGCAUCUAAGCACGAAACUUGCCCCGAGAUGAGUUCUCCCUGAGACUUAGAGU